GAGAGUGCGAGCUUAAGCGACCCCAAAAAUAACGCCUCAGUUCGGAUUGCAGCCUGCAACUCGGCUGCAUGAAGUUGGAAUCGCUAAUAAUCGCGGAUCAGAAUGCCGCGGUGAAUACGUUCCCGGGUCUUGUACACACCGCCCGUCACACCAUGGGAGUCGGGAAUGCCCGAAGUCGGUGACCUAACCGAAAGGGAGGAGCCGCCGAAGGCAGGCCUGGUAACUGGGGUGAAGUCGUAACAAGGUAAC
rnacentral:rRNA from 1 species